GGAGGGGUGCCGGAGUGGUUGAACGGGCCGGUCUCGAAAACCGGUAUAGGGGCUUCCCCCUAUCGAGGGUUCGAAUCCCUCCCCCUCCGCCA
rnacentral:tRNA from 1 species